rnacentral:rRNA from 1 species
UACAGAGGGUGCAAGCGUUAAUCGGAAUUACUGGGCGUAAAGCGCGCGUAGGUGGUUUGUUAAGUUGAAUGUGAAAGCCCCCGGCUCAACCGGGGAGAGUCGUCGGGGACCGCACCGCUUGAGGGCGGUAGGGGCUGGUGGAAUGCCUGGUGUAGUGGUGAAAUGCGUAGAGAUCAGGCAGAACACCUGGGGCGAAGGCGGCCAGCUGGGCCGUCCCUGACGCUGAGGCGCGAAGGCGUGGGGAGCGAACGGG